AGUGAACGCUGGCGGUAGGCCUAACACAUGCAAGUCGAACGGCAGCACAGGAGAGCUUGCUCUCUGGGUGGCGAGUGGCGGACGGGUGAGGAAUACAUCGGAAUCUACUCUGUCGUGGGGGAUAACGUAGGGAAACUUACGCUAAUACCGCAUACGACCUACGGGAGAAAGCAGGGGACCUUCGGGCCUUGCGCGAUUGAAUGAGCCGAUGUCGGAUUAGCUAGUUGGCGGGGUAAAGGCCCACCAAGGCGACGAUCCGUAGCUGGUCUGAGAGGAUGAGCAGCCACACUGGAACUGAGACACGGUCCAGACUCCUACGGGAGGCAGCAGUGGGGAAUAUUGGACAAUGGGCGCAAGCCUGAUCCAGCCAUACCGCGUGGGUGAAGAAGGCCUUCGGGUUGUAAAGCCCUUUUGUUGGGAAAGAAAUCCAGCUGGCUAAUACCCGGUUGGGAUGACGGUACCCAAAGAAUAAGCACCGGCUAACUUCGUGCCAGCAGCCGCGGUAA
rnacentral:rRNA from 1 species